GAACAUUGGCAAGAGUGGGGACAUGGAAGCUGUGUUCAGGCCGGUCCACGCUGGGUGACCCAUGUGACCUGCUGCUUAGCAAUUCCUUGUCACCAUCUUCCCUUCUCAGCCUCUUUUUUCAUGCUAACAGGCAUAAAUGAAAUGAUAAAAGUUUGAGCUCUUCUCGUGGAAUUCUCGUGAUACAGAUAUGUGCUACAUGUUCAUCAUCUCGUUGGUCUUCACCAUGAUAACUGUGGAGUAAGAAUUAUAAGCAGGUCACAGAUUAGGGACUUGAGAUUGACAGUUUGGCUUCCCUGUUCUGGGUGGCAAAGCCUGUGGAGUACUCACCUACCUGCUGCAUGAAGGCAGCAUGGAGGGACUGUGGUGGAUUAUCUGCAAAGAUGGCCAAAAUUCUCUCAUCCCUGCAGGCACAUACAAGAUGCCAGAAUCAGUCAAAACUAAGCUCACUGUCCUUGCUAAUAUUCUGCCCCAGAGAAGAACUGAAGCUCAGCUCUUCACCCUACAGAAAGCCUGAAUUUUGUAAAUGUUCUGCUUAGAAUGAGGAAGAAAGAUGAAGAAUGAGGAGGAAGAAGGAAGGAACGAGAGAGAGGUUGUUGCAUGGCAUAAGUAAAGUGACAGUUAUAGGAUACAUGCAACUUUUCAGUGACAAAGAUCUGUGCAGCAUCGACAGUACUGCCUAAUGAGGUUUCACCAUAAUGAAGUAUCACAACCAGUUUACAGACCAGAAAACUGAGACACAGGAAGGGGUGGUGACUUGAGCAAGGUGCAUCAGCUGCCAGGUUUCCAGAAGUUCCCCAGUCAUUGAGCAUUUCUGAGGCUCUUGAUGCAUAUGCCAAGUAGUUAUGGAGAAAGACACAGCAGCUUACCUCUGCAGGCAUCAUUGUGUGAAAGGAAGACCCAGGCUCUCUCACCACCCUUGAACAGAAGCCUUUUGCUAAGGUGAUAGCUACAUGUCCAAGCCUAUUGCGUGGCAUGCAUUUUGCCUUCUGCAGCCCACUAAAGGAAAUUGAAGUAUACAGAAUGCUUAUUUGGUCUACUCAGUAUCAUCCUAAAUGUAUGUACCAAUGCUUAGGAGUUUGCAGUUCACCCGCAAACCUCAGCGAUCCAAGCUCCCCUGGAUGACCAUCACUCACCAAGAAAAGAGCAAUAACAGGACCUGUUUUGCUAAUCCAGGACUGUUCUCCAGCACUAACUCUAAAUAAUCCCUUCUGCUAGAGUCCACUUUCUGGAACCUGUUGUGAGUAUUGUGAAUUGUUCUCCAACCUCUAUUCUAGUUAUCUCAUUUCCAUUGAGACUAGCAAAAGCACUUGCUUGAGAUUCUGUGUUCAAGUUUCAACUUUAGCAACUCACUUUUCCUUUAGGCCUCCGUUUUCAACGUUUCCCAAACUUGGUCCGUUGUGUGAGCUGGCUGAUAAAAGUUCCAGGGAGAAGACAUCUUACUCUUAUUGGAUC
rnacentral:lncRNA from 1 species